UCAAACCUCAAGCCUUGCUUGGUAUUGGGUUUUUCGUCUCCUCCUGUCUUUGUAUAGGUAGUGACGUGCCUGAAAAAUAAUGGCGGUGCCUCAAUAGACUCAAGCGAAGCAGACUGACUCUCGCUUUGGAGAACUUUUGGCGGUCUUGUCAACAAAAAAAUAAUGAAGU
rnacentral:misc_RNA from 1 species